CAGCAGUCGCCGCGGUAAUACGUAGGGUGCGAGCGUUAAUCGGAAUUACUGGGCGUAAAGCGGGCGCAGACGGUUACUUAAGCAGGAUGUGAAAUCCCCGGGCUCAACCUGGGAAUUGCGUUCUGAACUGGGUGGCUAGAGUGUGUCAGAGGGGGGUAGAAUUCCACGUGUAGCAGUGAAAUGCGUAGAGAUGUGGAGGAAUACCGAUGGCGAAGGCAGCCCCCUGGGAUAGCACUGACGUUCAUGCCCGAAAGCGUGGGUAGCAAACAGGAUUAGAUACCCCAGUAGUCCCUGUCUCUUAUAC
rnacentral:rRNA from 1 species